rnacentral:rRNA from 1 species
UGGGGAAUUUUGGACAAUGGGCGAAAGCCUGAUCCAGCAAUGCCGCGUGUGUGAAGAAGGCCUUCGGGUUGUAAAGCACUUUUGUCCGGAAAGAAAUCCUUGGCUCUAAUACAGUCGGGGGAUGACGGUACCGGAAGAAUAAGCACCGGCUAACUACGUGCCAGCAGCCGCGGUAAUACGUAGGGUGCAAGCGUUAAUCGGAAUUACUGGGCGUAAAGCGUGCGCAGGCGGUUUGCUAAGACCGAUGUGAAAUCCCCGGGCUCAACCUGGGAACUGCAUUGGUGACUGGCAGGCUAGAGUAUGGCAGAGGGGGGUAGAAUUCCACGUGUAGCAGUGAAAUGCGUAGAGAUGUGGAGGAAUACCGAUGGCGAAGGCAGCCCCCUGGGCCAAUACUGACGCUCAUGCACGAAAGCGUGGGGAGCAAACAGGAUUAGAUACCCUGGUAGUCCACGCCCUAAAACGAUGUCAACUAGUUGUUGGGGAUUCAUUUCCUUAGUAACGUAGCUAACGCGUGAAGUUGACCGCCUGGGGAGUGCGGUCGCAAGAUUAAAACUUAAAUGAAUUGACGGGGUCAUAGCUGUUUCC